GAUCACAGCCCGUUUUCGUGGGGCAGAAGAACGCGAUGUUGGCGGCGCCCCUGCGCCAGGGAGAGCACACUGAGCUGAAUAAAAUCCACCCGGGGUCCAGCCCAGCUUCCACCCACAGAGGAGGCCGGAGCCUGGCUGACUGGUGCCCCCCUGUCCUGAGCGCACGGGCUGUGACCCCCGCGCCGGAUGUCUCUUGACUGACGGCCAGCGUCUGGGACACUGGGGUCCUUGUGUUGCCAACAGCCCUCACCUCCUAUUUACUCUGUGGUUGCGUGGUGGACUUGCAGUAGAUACAGGUGCAGCCACCAAGGGGCUGCUCGGGCGCUGUCCCCAAGUGCUAAGGCACACACAGCCGUGGGAUCCCUGAAGCCGCAUCAUGGGGUCUGACACAAGGCCCAGGGCGCCAGGGUGCAGGCGGUUGAUUCCCCAGAGCACCCACCUAAGUCCCCGAUGGAGGAUUCUUAACUAUCUAGAUGCCCCCCAAGCCCCGAUGGCCCACCUAGAGCCAACAAAAUACUCUUCCGUAGACAUGCCACGUGGGAUUCCCCUGGCCUCCCCGACCCUGCCGGCCCCUGCCAGCUUCCUGGCACCCCUGACUGCUCCAGCCUGCCUCACCCGCAGGCUCACCUGGCCAACCAGAAGAUGCCCUGACCACACAGGCCGGCACUUGCAGGGCACCCUGACCACAAGCACACAGCUCUUCUAUGCCCGUGAUCCAGUGUCUUCCAGACUCCAGGUGUUUCCAGGCCACAUUUACCCCCUAGUACCUGGACUGCUAUUUUCUUAACACUUUUCUUUAAAUUGAUUUGCUUUGAAAAAAAAAUUGAUUUGCUUUGUUCUUAAUAACUUCAAUUAAAGAGGAAAUGUCAGAUUACUGUGAUUUUCAACAAUGUGAUUUCCUUCUCACCAGAUACCGUGGCCCCUCAAAGGCUCUGAAUGUGUGACCUUCUCUAUUAGAAAGGAAUCUUAGCGUCAUCUUAGCACCAAACAGACUUUCUCCUUGACAAUACUCAAAAGGAGUGAAAGAGAAUGGAAUAGGGAAUGUGAAUAAGUGAGCUUUCUCAUUGUGUGACUCCAAGCUAUUAGAUACUAUGCUUCAUCUAGAGGGGCACCCAUGGUCCUCUCCAGCUCCUCAGGAACAUUACCGUUAGCAAUGGAGAUGCUCUCCAAAUUCCAACCUGUGGCCAAAUAUUUCAGACUUUCUUAAACUCUGGCAUAGGAAAAAAUAAUAGUAAUAAAAUAAAAUAAGAUUGAAUUAAAAAUAUUUUG
rnacentral:lncRNA from 12 species